GCAAGUCGAGGGGUAACAGGGAGUGCUUGCACUUCGCUGACGACCGGCGCACGGGUGCGCACCGCGUAUGGAACCUACCUUUUACAGGGGGAUAGCCCAGGGAAACUUGGAUUAAUACCCCGUAGUACCUUUUGUAAUAUUGCCAGACGGUUAAAGCCUUCGGUCGGUAAAAGAUGGCCAUGCGUCCCAUUAGCUAGUUGGUGAGGUAACGGCUUACCAAGGCAACGAUGGGUAGGGGCCCUGAGAGGGUGAUC
rnacentral:rRNA from 1 species